CAAAUGGGAACACACUGAAACCUCCAGAUUGAUAACGUCUGCAUAAAUAUGCAUCAGGGUAAGGAUAACUUCACUCAAAGACAUGUAUUGUUCUGUACAGUCAGUACAGAAGAGGUCAGUAACGGAAAUGACUGCAUCUUGCAGAGUAUUUUUGUUCACCCUUGGUGAGCUUUAACCUACCAGAAUGGGCCUUUUGUUUUCAGGAACGUUGGGGGACUAAGAGGACGUCUGGCUUUGGGCCGAGGCCGAGCCUUCUUCCAUGGGAGAACGACUGCUUGUUUGUUAACGCCAGAAAGCUCCCACGUGGUGAAAGGAACUCCGAUAAGCUUUUUCAUUGAACCGAAUGAGCGGAGGACACGCUGCAGCCUGCCCUUGUCCUUGGCUGUGGCUGCAGCGUACCAGACGGUGAUGGAGGAGCAGAGGAUGGACUCCAUGAUGGCCG
ensembl:lncRNA